CAUCUUCUCUGCUGACCUGAUACAAAAUACUUGGUAUCUUUUUAUUGCUAAUCUUUUCAACAACUGUUUUCUUUUGCCCCAAAUUGUAGGUGGCUCAGACUUUGGAGAAAACUGUGUAACACCCACAGUCACUGAAUAUGAGCUGCAUGCAGAAUGGACACAACUUUAGGUGGUCUUAUUGUCACUUUUGGAAAUAAUCGAAGAAUGCUACAUGUCUGGAAGGAAGCAGCCAACAUGGUACCCUAACCAGAGCAACAGGACACUGUGUCUUCUGAAGUGGAGAUCUGAAUUGCUGACAGUGCUUCCUUCUGAUUGGAAUGGUGGGAACAUUAAUUGUGAGUUCAGGGAUUCUCUUGUCUGCUCCUGUUUGCUGCACAGUGAGUUCUGCAGUGACUAUACAGUAACCCAGCCUCAGGGCCUGCUGAGGUGG
rnacentral:lncRNA from 1 species